GAUGAACGCUGGCGGCGUGCCUAAUACAUGCAAGUCGAGCGAACAGACGAGGAGCCUGCUCCUCUGACGUUAGCGGCGGACGGGUGAGUAACACGUGGAUAACCUACCUAUAAGACUGGGAUAACUUCGGGAAACCGGAGCUAAUACCGGAUAAUAUAUUGAACCGCAUGGUUCAAUAGUGAAAGACGGUUUUGCUGUCACUUAUAGAUGGAUCCGCGCCGCAUUAGCUAGUUGGUAAGGUAACGGCUUACCAAGGCAACGAUGCGUAGCCGACCUGAGAGGGUGAUCGGCCACACUGGAACUGAGACACGGUCCAGACUCCUACGGGAGGCAGCAGUAGGGAAUCUUCCGCAAAGGGCGAAAGCUUGACGGAGCAACGCCGCGUGAGUGAUGAAGGUCUUCGGAUCGUAAAACUCUGUUAUUAGGGAAGAACAAAUGUGUAAGUAACUAUGCACGUCUUGACGGUACCUAAUCAGAAAGCCACGGCUAACUACGUG
rnacentral:rRNA from 1 species